AAACAUGUCCAGUUCUCCAACGUCCCCCUGGGACAGGCCUGAAGGAUGCAGUCCAGGGCUGUGCCUGGCUUAGGGGACAGAUCAGAUUCUAACGCAUGUGGACUUCAUCCUUUGUCGCCAGACUCCGGGCAGACGCCUGAGCGCCCCCAUCUGGACCAAGGGACGAUGCCCGGGCCGGCAGUAUUGAUAAUGGACCACUCAGAUGAAUCUCUGGACCCACUCAGGCAUCGUCCAACCUACACAUUACAAAGCCCAGCCUUAAAGGUGCCCACUUCCGGUGCUAGGGGACCUGAAUAAAGCAGGAAGAAUGGGUGCCCCAUGGACAGCAGACACACCGCCCACCUGGACACCGAAGUACCCCCAGAGCCAUCCAGAAAAGCCACGGCCAUGUGCAGUCAUGGGAGACCCCAGGACAAGAGACCUGCCUGCCCCCAGACUGUCUGGGGAAGCUUCCUUUUCUUCACUUCCUGAAGCGCUUGCUUGCCUGUUGUACAGCAGCUCCUGCCAUCCAAGGUCUGUGGGGAGGAAUGGAGAGAGGGCCCGUCCCUCCCCGAGCAAAGGUGGCAGGGAAGCCACCCUGCUGUCUCCUUGGAAGACCAGAGCUCACUCACCGGUCUCACAUUAACAUCUCUUGGGUCAAAAAUACAACCCAACAAAAGCACAGUUAUUAUGGAAACAGCCCCGUAACUGAUUCAGCUUCUUGACCAUUCAGAAAUGAUGGCAUCUCUCUUCCGAAACAAUUUUUUAAAUUGACAGCAACAGAGCUCAGUAAAAGAUCCACAGUCUCCACAGGAGUGUAGCUGUCCAAGAGGAAAGCUGAAUAUACAAGAUCUCCAUCCAUGAUAAGCCCAGCUGGCUGCCUCCCACUCACCCAGAGACACAUAAAGGGCAUCUCCUUUCCCUGACACACAGCCCUUCCGGUUGAGGGAGCCCUUCCAAGCCCCAGUGCAAGAUGCAGGCCAGAAGCAGGCUGGGCCAGGUCCUGGACAAAGGUGGCAGAGGUGACUGCAGCUGUCCACAGGUCAGCUGGGAUGUGCAGCCCCAGACACCUGGCAGACAGAAUAAGACGGUAGGUGGCACCGACACCCUUGACUGCCUGUGGUUUACCCUCAGCAGCACUGCAUGGAGGAUGGGACAACUCCAUUUCAGAGCUGAGUUCAGUUCGUGGCAGAGGAAGAGGAGGAUGUUGGGAAGGAGGCAGCCUCCUCCCCACCCUGUGCUCCUGAGGUCCAGCCUGUAGGCUUUCCUGGAUGAGGCCCAGGAGAUUACCCAAGCCAGGAGAUUGCCAGAGGAGUGGGACAGGCACACAGGUGGGUGCCCUUGUUUCCAGGAGGCAGAAGGAGGGGGUGCCCUUCUCUCUCCUGCAUUGCUGCAUGGUGGUGGGAACCCUGUCCAGUCUUUGCAGCCACUUUCCUGCUUUCUCAUGCAUGUAACUCCCAUGCUGUUGCCUCCAGUCCAAGCUGUGCCCACAACCUGCAUGGGUGAGGAAGGGUCUCUCACAGGCAGGGUUGUCUUACUUCCUGGACACUUGCUCCCUUGAGGCCAUACAAUAACAAUGGUGGGGCGUGGCCUCCAAAGGUUCAUCUGCACCAUGCCUAUCCCUGGCCACUGUACAGACCAGCCAGGCUGCUAGGAAUCUUCAGGCAAGAGGCGCUCAGAAUCAAAGACUCCUUUGAAGAGGAGUUGGCCACAGAGUCUUUUCACAAGGGCGACCCAGGCAAGCCAGGAGUCCCACAGAUGCAGAGAUAACCUCACUGGUGCAAAACUUGCAGUGUGGCUGCCAUGGCCAGACCCUCUAAUGCUCACCAACGACCCUUCCAGCACCAAGAACCUCAGAAUUCUCUUCUAAAGAGGUAUUUUUAAAUAAAGAGAAGAAAUUGUAUAUAUCCACUCCUCAUGUUUGCAGCUCUCAAUUCCGUUCCACAGACCCUUAGAGCACUCUGGUUUCUCUUUCCUUCAGUUGGAAGAAUAUCCUUCAGUAUUUCCCCCAGCGGAAUCUGCUGGUCACAGAAUCUCUCAACAUUUGCAUAUCUAAAUGGAUGUUGCAUUCACUCUUGUGUUUUGAAAGAUAUUUUUGCUGAG
ensembl:lincRNA